rnacentral:rRNA from 1 species
CAAGCGAAGGAGGAGUCACAUAGGAAAAACCGUGUGGCAAUCCAAAGGCGUGAUGCGGACCGAACUAAAGUAGGGAAGUGUGUGAGCCAUGAAUCAAGAAAAGCCGCUAUUGUUUUUAAGAUACCCGUACCGUAAACCGACACAGGUGGAUGAGGAGAGAAUCCUAAGGCCGGCGGAAGAAGCAUUGUUAAGGAACUCGGCAAAAUGACCCCGUAACUUCGGGAGAAGGGGUGCCAACGAGAGUUGGCCGCAGAGAAUAGGCUCAAGCAACUGUUUAGCAAAAACACAGGUCUAUGCAAAACCGUAAGGUGAGGUAUAUGGGCUGACGCCUGCCCGGUGCUGGAAGGUUAAGAGGAGAGGUUAGCGCAAGCGAAGCUUUGAAUUUAAGCCCCAGUAAACGGCGGCCGUAACUAUAACGGUCCUAAGGUAGCGAAAUUCCUUGUCGGGUAAGUUCCGACCCGCACGAAAGGCGUAAUGAUUUGAGCGCUGUCUCGACAAUGCAUCCGGUGAAAUUGAAGUACCAGUGAAGAUGCUGGUUACCCGCGCCAGGACGGAAAGACCCCAUGGAGCUUUACUCCAGUUUGGUACUGGGGUCCGGCAGUGCAUGUACAGGAUAGGUGGGAGGCUGUGAACCUGGAACGCCAGUUUCAGGGGAGCCAUUGUUGGGAUACCACCCUUGUGCUGCUGGGCUUCUAACCAGCGGCCUUUAUCAGGCCGGGGGACAAUGCCAGACGGGGAGUUUGACUGGGGCGGUCGCCUCCGAAAGGGUAUCGGAGGCGCUCAAAGGUUCCCUCAGAAUGGUCGGAAACCAUUCGAAGAGUGCAAAGGCAGAAGGGAGCUUGACUGCGACACCGACGGGUGGAGCAGGUACGAAAGUAGGACUUAGUGAUCCGGUGGUAUUAAGUGGGAAUGCCAUCGCUCAACGGAUAAAAGCUACCCUGGGGAUAACAGGCUUAUCACUCCCAAGAGUUCACAUCGACGGAGUGGUUUGGCACCUCGAUGUCGGCUCAUCGCAUCCUGGGGCUGUAGUAGGUCCCAAGGGUUGGGCUGUUCGCCCAUUAAAGCGGUACGCGAGCUGGGUUCAGAACGUCGUGAGACAGUUCGGUCCCUAUCCGGCGUGGGCGUAGGAUAUUUGAGAGGAGCUGUCCUUAGUACGAGAGGACCGGGAUGGACUGACCUCUGGUGUACCGGUUGAACCGCCAGGUUCACGGCCGGGUAGCCAAGUCGGGAAGGGAUAAACGCUGAAGGCAUCUAAGCGUGAAGCCCCCCUCAAGAUGAGAUAUCCCAUUCGAAAGAAGUAAGACCCCUUGAAGACGACGAGGUAGAUAGGGCAGAGGUGGAAGUGCCGUAAGGCAUGGAGCUGACUGUUACUAAUCGGUCGAGGGCUUGACCUG